CCUGCCUCUGAGCUCCACACGUUAAGAGGCCAGUGUUGAUCAGAGUCUGUCCAGACCUUUCACACACUCUGACACGCCGGCAGCACAAUCAUCAUGUCCCUGACUCUACUGCUGGCCACCCUGGGGCUCCUUGUUCAGGGUUUAUCAUCAGAAAUUACUGUCACUCAGUCUCCUGGAUCUCAGUCUGUUGUUCCAGAACAAACUGUCUCCAUCACAUGUAGAACCAGUACAAGUGUUAGCAAUGAUGUGGGCUGGUACGUUCAGAAACCUGGAGAAGCUCCCAAACUCCUUAUUGAUGAUGCUACUUCCCGUUGGUCUGGAGUUCCUGAUCGUUUCAGUGGAAGUGGAUCAGAUCCUGUCUACACUUUGACCAUCAGUGGAGUUCAGGCUGAAGAUUCAGGAGUUUAUUACUGUAUGCAGGAAUACAGCUUCCCGUUCACACAGUGA